AGGUCAUGUUGAGUACAAUUCCUUAAACAACCCCUUGUAGCGUUCCCAGGCCUCAUAUAAUGACUCCACCGGAUUUUGCUCAAAGUUGGCAAUUGCCUUCUUGAGUUU